rnacentral:rRNA from 1 species
UGGAUUGGUGCCUUCGGGAACUGUGAGACAGGUGCUGCAUGGCUGUCGUCAGCUCGUGUUGUGAAAUGUUGGGUUAAGUCCCGCAACGAGCGCAACCCUUAUCCUUUGUUGCCAGCGGUUAGGCCGGGAACUCAAAGGAGACUGCCAGUGAUAAACUGGAGGAAGGUGGGGAUGACGUCAAGUCAUCAUGGCCCUUACGACCAGGGCUACACACGUGCUACAAUGGCGCAUACAAAGAGAAGCGACCUCGCGAGAGCAAGCGGACCUCAUAAAGUGCGUCGUAGUCCGGAUUGGAGUCUGCAACUCGACUCCAUGAAGUCGGAAUCGCUAGUAAUCGUGGAUCAGAAUGCCACGGUGAAUAAGUUCCCGGGCCUUGUACACACCGCCCGUCACACCAUGGGAGUGGGUUGCAAAAGAAGUAGGUAGCUUAACCUUCGGGAGGGCGCUUACCACUUUGUGAUUCAUGACUGGGGUGAAGUCGUAACAAGGUAACCGUAGGGGAACCUGCGGUUGGAUCACCUCCUUACCUUAAAGAAGC